rnacentral:sRNA from 1 species
CUGGUCAGAGCGCCUAGAAAGGGACCGGGCCGGCCGCCAUAUUGGAGCCCUGGAGCUGCGGCGGGCCAAGGCUUCGUGGGGCUCGUGGAGCUGAGAGGUGGCAUGGUGUCUGACCCCUGCCCCAACCACUGAAUUUUCGUUACGUCCUGGAUUGCAAAGGACCUCAGAGCAAUCUUUGGUAGAUAACAUGAUCACGAAGGAUUAUAGCUUUGCCCUGAUAAUGACAAAGGAAGUAUCUACCAGAAGAAGUUAGCACUUAAUCUUUCUUACCCCACCAGCGAAUGUAAACGACAUUGAAAAGGGACUACAAGUAAGCAAUCUUACUCGGACUGAUGCUGAAUGAACUAAUGCUUGUAUUCAAAGUUGAUAACCAUGGAAAACUUUUUUGUUACCUCUAUAUUAAUUGUGCAAAAUAAUGUGUUUCGUUGUGACAUCUUCAUGCAAGUAAUGUUAGUUAACACGUUCAUCAACCCCUUCCCUUACCCACCAAUGAAAAUGCAUUCAGAUUACUUAAAGGACUUUGGAGCCUAUUUGCUCUGCAUCUCAAAUUACACCUUUUCCCCAGUAACUAAAACAGUACUGUGUGUUUGUUUUUCAGGUUCUGAGGUUCACUAGAGAAAGAUACUAGAAGACCUGCUGAGGGUCUCUGAGAAGUUAAAAAUGCUGAUAUGCAUAAUUUGUGUAUUUUAUUUUUCCCUCCUGAGCUUUUCGAAGGAGAUGCAUAGCUUGGUGGUGAGGAUUCACACAGCACGGUCAAGACCCUGGAUUGGAUCCCUGGCACUGGUUUGUUUGUAUCAGUGAAAAUACACACUGUGCCUUUGUUAGAAGUUAAUAAAAUUCAGCUGACAUGUAGAUCUUCCUUUCAAAAAGCUAGGCAGGCUGCUUUUAAAAUUGCCAAAACACAAUAGGAACCCUCAAAGAUAUAUGGAGAUGAUGGUAGUUAAUAGGCAGUUUUCAAAGACUUGGCUUAUGUUGUGAGAAGCAGCCCCAGAAGUGGCAAAAGCCAUUCUUGUGACUUCAGCAACCUAAAAACCUCAGAAAUAUGACGAUUCUUCUACCUGUAAUGAUGGAACCGCUACUUGGAUCAAGAAAAAGCAAAAAGAAAAAUUACAUUUUUGAGUAUGUUUUCUGCACAUAUCCCAAAGAAGUGCAGCAACCAUUGUCAUACAGACCUGGUGACAAAAGUUCUGUUUAAAGCACACCAUCUGUGCAUGAUUUCAUUAAACAUACCAGGACUUGGGAAGUUUGAGUUAAGAACUGGCUUGGGCAUUCCAAGAUCAUAUCUCAGAAAACAUCCUGGAUGCUGGGAUUAAAGGUAUGUACCACCAUUCCUAGCUUAGAAUUGCAUACAUUUUUAAGGCCUUAAAUGUAUAUAUUUAUGCUAUAGUAAUUAUCUCUAUUUUGUCUUUACAGUGUAACCGUUGAUGAACUCCACUCUCCGCGAAAAAUAAUACCAAGAUUUUUGGAGUUCAUAGCUCACAAUUCAACAGUUCUUAAUCCUUAUACACAUACAGAGAGAUUUUCACAUACUUGUCCAGAAUGAAAAGCAAUGUAGACAAAAAAUUCUCUUUGAACAAACACAAUAGUAUAAGUGAAGAAUGAUUCCCAAGGCCCUCUGCUCCGCAUAGGAACCUUAGAUCAGAAUCUGACCCUAUCAGUACUGAUACUACUUAACUGUGAGUGGUCCUUAGUAACAGGUACUGAGCUCAGUGAUUCCUAAUGUCAACCUAGCGGGACCUGGACUUGUUACAAUACACACAUAGACCACUGCUAAGUUCCAGGAGCUAAAUACUGCCUCGUUGAUCCUAAGCAUAUAGGAUAAAGGGCUUUCCCUUCCAGAACAGUUAAUAUGCCUGGGCCAUGUGUUACUGAAGUACAGCAGAUCUAUCACAGUUUUAAAAACAAUGCUGUCUUUUUCUUUUCCUUUGGAGCUGGGGACCGAACCCAGGGCCUUGCACUUGCUAGGCAAGCGCUCUACCACUGAGCUAAAUCCCCAACCCUAAUACUGUCUUUUUAAGACAGGGUUUUACCUUAUAGACUAGGUUGGCCCCAAAUUUGGCAAUCCAUCUGCUUUUGCCUCCUGAGUGCUAGUAUUAUUUAAGGGGUUACUUUCUGUGGGUUGUAGGUAUAGGUGAGUGCUGAUGUCAGAGGAGGCCAGAGGUGCCAGAUCUCCCUGUACCUAGUUAACUAAGUAACUAUGAGGUACCCAACUUAGUUGUUGGGACCCAAACUUCAGCCGGAUGAUAGAACAACAUUCACAGUUAACCAGUAGGCAUCACCAAUUCCUUGAGAGCUACAUCCACUCCGUCUUCCUGGUCCUAUUUUCCCGCACUCACCACCACCAGGUCUUGAGAUGGAUUGGAUUAGCCUGUAAUUUAGAACUCUGGUUGCCUUCCAAAAGCUGCGAUUGCUGGCUUCUCUAACCAGCUUCUGGCUUCUGUUUUUGUUUAAAAAAAUAAAUAACUGGGUGUGGUGGUACGUGCUUUUAAGUCCUGGCACUGGGGACAUGAAGGUAGGAGGAUAUUCAAGGUCAGCUUGGUGUAGAGUUUCCAGGACAGCCUGGCCUAUAUAAACUCAACCAGUUGUGUUUUUAAGACGGGAUUUCUGUAACCCCAUAGUAUAAUCAUGCCAUGUUUGUAUAUACAAGGCACUAAUUUUGGUCUGUCAAAGAAUCUGCUCUGUAGCCAGGCUGACCUCAUGUUCUGGCCUGCCUCUGCCCACUGAGCGCUCACAGCCACCUCCCUCAGCCAAUUUUUUAAGAUAAUUAGGAAUGAAUGUACCCUUUUAUCACUUGACUAGAAAAUGGUAGUCAACCAAUAGAGGUAGGAAAAUCUUCAAGAUUUAUAAUGCCCUCUCUCCAAAAGCUAAGUACAAAAUCAUCUACUUUCUAACUCCUCUUUCCUGCAGCAAAAGACUUGUUCACACACCAGCAAGCUACAGCUAGCAGCCAGACGGUGUUACAUGAAUUGGGCCUUUUCUUCUGCUUCGCAUGUACACAGUAGUUGUAGCAUAGUUGGUAAAUGAAUAUCUUGUUAAAUAUACAACUGGUGGAUUGCUUAGUCCUUCAAAAUUUGACCUAGCAUUGGAUGUAAUAGACUAGUUUACAACAGGGACACAUAGAACGGCCCAUGUAUUUAGAAGUAAAAUCUCUUAGGGAUGGGAAAGAUGGCAGAUCACUUAAGAGACCUUGCUCUUAUAGAAGUCCCAGUACCUAAAUUUGAUGUCUCACAAAUUUUGCAAAAGUUGCAGGAGAUCUGACACCCUCUUGCCUCCAUGUGCAUCUGCAUGAAUGUGCUGCACGUAUGCUCAAUAUAUGUUAAGGUUUGUGUCAUAAUUCAUUGAGUGCCAUGACCUAAAAACAUAGUUAAGUGUAUCUUGUAAAGAUGUGCCUACAAAAUAUCUCCAAAGUGAAUGGAUGAAAGACAGACCUGCCCUCAGUUUAAUAUAUUUUUAGACUCAAUCUAAAGUGCCUAGGUUGUGUGUGUGUGCCAACAAAAGACGUAGAUUCUCUGGGUGGCUGUGAGUUCCAAGGUAAGUGCUGGAAUGGGCUCUUAACCUCCUAAUACACAAUUUCAAAUUUUAAUGAGAUCUGGGAGAGUAGUAUAAUCAUGCCAUGUUUGUAUAUACAAGGCACUAAUUUUAGUCUUCAGAUGGCUACAUAUAUUGACUGGCUUUUAACUUACAAAGAUCUACUUGCUUAAUUAUAGCUGUAGCAAUUCAUGAAAGGAUAUUAAGGGAUCUGCAUUUACACAUUUUAACAUUAAAACAACAUGUAAGUAAUGGGCUCUGUGAUCAAAUUCUACAUAAUUAAAAGCUCUGCCCUCUUAUUUGUUGACAUAUUUGUGAAAUAAACUACUGAGUCAGGGCUGCAGCUCAGUUGAUAGUGUUUGCAUGAAGCCCUGUAUUUGCCUGCAGCACUCAAGAAAUAA